rnacentral:rRNA from 1 species
UGCAUAGCCGACCUGAGAGGGUGAUCGGCCACACUGGAACUGAGACACGGUCCAGACUCCUACGGGAGGCAGCAGUAGGGAAUCUUCCGCAAUGGGCGAAAGCCUGACGGAGCAACGCCGCGUGAGUGAUGAAGGUCUUCGGAUCGUAAAACUCUGUUAUUAGGGAAGAACAUAUGUGUAAGUAACUGUGCACAUCUUGACGGUACCUAAUCAGAAAGCCACGGCUAACUACGUGCCAGCAGCCGCGGUAAUACGUAGGUGGCAAGCGUUAUCCGGAAUUAUUGGGCGUAAAGCGCGCGUAGGCGGUUUUUUAAGUCUGAUGUGAAAGCCCACGGCUCAACCGUGGAGGGUCAUUGGAAACUGGAAAACUUGAGUGCAGAAGAGGAAAGUGGAAUUCCAUGUGUAGCGGUGAAAUGCGCAGAGAUAUGGAGGAACACCAGUGGCGAAGGCGACUUUCUGGUCUGUAACUGACGCUGAUGUGCGAAAGCGU